GAAGAGAUGAAAAUGACUCUGCUGCAGAUCACCCAAGCAGCAGCGAUUCUGACACAGCAAAAAUACACUUUCUCCCAGCGAGCAUUGGAAUUAAGGGAGCAUAACUCAGUCUGCAGGAGCAUCACUGGUUGUUCGCAAGACUCGUUUGACAACAGAGAGAAACUGAACCUUUCGUGGCGCAAGGAAGGCGCUUGCUCUGCGCCCGAGGACACCUGGCUGGCAGUCAGAAGCACAAAAGCCACAGGGGGAGGGGCUGCUUCCAAGCCUGGGACUGGGGGAGAACCUCGCCUCUGCUUCGCCUGGGGGACAGGGAUGUCCAUCCCGGCUCACAAACCCCCCAAAAUAAAUUAACGGACAAGCGCGGGUCGUGCCCUUUCGGUACCCUCGGAAGGUUAGGGGAGACCUGCCCCUUUCCCCCCAUAGACUUCCGCCUGAGACCCCCAAAGGGCGACUUGCCGGGUUCGCUGCCCCUCUGGCGUUUUAUUUUGGAUCGCUUUGUUUGAUGUUUCAAUGAAGGCGGUAAAUUCUUUUAAUGUUAUUAUGGGUGUGAAAUAUGUAGGCGGGGGUGUUUAUUGGGUUGUCUUUGUUUUUAUUUGAUUAUGUGUUUUGUGUUUUUAUAUCGUAAUUCCAUCCUGUGAACCCCCAAAUUUAAUGAACAAAUAAAUGGAUAAAUCGAAA